UUUGGCCGUUUUGGCCAUUUUCCGAGCCGGAUGCUCGGCCCGCUUUGGGAAAGUCGAUCCUCGCGUCGAGCCCGUCGUUUUGAGACCCGGAUGAGGAGCUUAAGGAGGAGGAACUUGAUGAGGAAAACCCUGAUGAGGAACCUGAAGAGGAGUAUCAGAAGGAGAACCCCGAGAAUGAUCCAGAGUAGGAUCCUGAUGACGAUUGCUAUAGAAUCAAUUUGAGUAGAAACCAAUUGUCUUCGUAUGGCUUGUAUAUGAUCAUAAGGGUGUUGGUUUUUAGGUUCAAUUUCCUAGUCCUACUUGUAGAUCCCAUUGCUUUAUUGUCUGGGGAUUUUUAUAACUGCUUCCGCAUGUGUUAUUAAAAAGGACAGGGUCAGCGAUA